GGACCAAGGAGUCUAGCAUGUGCGCAAGUCAUUGGGAUUUGAAAACCUAAAGGCGUAAUGAAAGUAAAUAUUUACCUUGUGUAAAUUAAGGGAGGAUAAGAUACAUUCCAUAUUAUUUUUAAAUGAUUUUUAAUUAUUUAAUAUAGUAUGUUUGUUUGUAUACUUCGCACUCCCGGGGCGUCCCACACUUAUUGCAAGGUGAGGCGCACCAAGAGCGUACACGCUGGGACCCGAAAGAUGGUGAACUAUGCCUGGUCAGGACGAAGUCAGGGGAAACCCUGAUGGAGGUCCGUAGCGAUUCUGACGUGCAAAUCGAUCGUCGGAACUGGGUAUAGGGGCGAAAGACUAAUCGAACUAUCUAGUAGCUGGUUCCCUCCGAAGUUUCCCUCAGGAUAGCUGGCGUUCGGAGGUAUAAAUGAUAUAUAUGAAAUUUAUUUUAUAUAUGUGGAUGAGUCUCAUCCGGUAAAGCGAAUGAUUAGAGGCAUUGGGGUCGAAACGGCCUCAACCUAUUCUCAAACUUUAAAUGGGUGAGAUCUCUAGCUUGCUUAAAAUAUGAAGCUAGAGGUCGGAUCAAUGAGUGCCAAGUGGGCCAUUUUUGGUAAGCAGAACUGGCGCUGUGGGAUGAACCAAACGUUGAGUUAAAGCGCCAAAAUUAACGCUUAUGGGAUACCAUGAAAGGCGUUGCUAACUUAAGACAGCAGGUCGGUGGCCAUGGAAGUCGGA
rnacentral:rRNA from 1 species